AUGCGGUAUGAGAGAGAUAAUGGUAUAUUCAGUAGAGCUGAUAUCCAUUGCCAAAUGAAAAAGGUUGGACUGACGUGUUUUUCAACCAGAACUGAUCUUCCUGCGUGCACAACGGACGGAAACAGGGGAUGCAACGUCGAGCUUCCGGUCGUUCUCCGGCGCGAUGCUGCUGGCCAUUCGUUGCUAGAGGAGACAUGUAAAGGAUUCCGCACGUGCGCGCGCUCAGCUGGAUGUUUUUUUAGAUUAUUUUCAUCCGUAAUUUAUGUUUACAAGUUUUGGUGUUCUUGGUCAUUUUCCAUGCCCGCCAUGGAAAUCUGUUCUUCUUUUUCUGUUGUUUUACUUUCGAAUUGGUGUUGCAGGGAUAGAUAUAAGGACUGUAUGAAAAGAUUUGCGUUGUCAAUUUUGCUUUUUUGA
rnacentral:rRNA from 1 species